rnacentral:rRNA from 1 species
UACAGAGGUCUCAAGCGUUGUUCGGAUUCAUUGGGGCGUAAAGGGUGCGUAGGCGGCGCGGUAAGUCGGGUGUGAAAUCUUGGAGCUUAACUCCGAAACUGCAUUCGAUACUGCCGUGCUUGAGGACUGGAGAGGAGACUGGAAUUUACGGUGUAGCGGUGAAAUGCGUAGAUAUCGUAAGGAAGACCAGUGGCGAAGGCGGGUCUCUGGACAGU